rnacentral:rRNA from 1 species
UACGUAGGGUGCAAGCGUUGUCCGGAAUUAUUGGGCGUAAAGAGCUCGUAGGCGGUUUGUCGCGUCGAAUGUGAAAACCCGGGGCUCAACCCCGGGCCUGCAUUCGAUACGGGCAGACUAGAGUUCGGUAGGGGAGUCUGGAAUUCCUGGUGUAGCGGUGAAAUGCGCAGAUAUCAGGAGGAACACCGGUGGCGAAGGCGGGACUCUGGCCCGAUACUGACGCUGAGGCACGAAAGCGUGGGGAGCAAACAGG